rnacentral:rRNA from 1 species
AUUGAACGCUGGCGGCAGGCCUAACACAUGCAAGUCGAACGGUAGCACAGAGAGCUUGCUCUUGGGUGACGAGUGGCGGACGGGUGAGUAAUGUCUGGGAAACUGCCCGAUGGAGGGGGAUAACUACUGGAAACGGUAGCUAAUACCGCAUAACGUCGCAAGACCAAAGUGGGGGACCUUCGGGCCUCACACCAUCGGAUGUGCCCAGAUGGGAUUAGCUAGUUGGUGGGGUAAUGGCUCACCAAGGCGACGAUCCCUAGCUGGUCUGAGAGGAUGACCAGCCACACUGGAACUGAGACACGGUCCAGACUCCUAAGGGAGGCAGCAGUGGGGAAUAUUGCACAAUGGGCGCAAGCCUGAUGCAGCCAUGCCGCGUGUAUGAAGAAGGCCUUCGGGUUGUAAAGUACUUUCAGCGAGGAGGAAGGCAUUGUGGUUAAUAACCGCAGUGAUUGACGUUACUCGCAGAAGAAGCACCGGCUAACUCCGUGCCAGCCGCCGCCGUAA